rnacentral:lncRNA from 1 species
GACGCCACUGAUAGACCUAGAAGACUCCUGUCUGCUGGUCUGUCACGAUCUGGAAGACAACACAGAGCGCCGUGAGACCCGUGCACUUGCGGGGGCCACUGAGAAGUGGUGACUGCCAAACGGAGUCCCUGCGGGCAUGCUAGCCGGCGAUGUGUCAGCACCUCAUGCAGCGGUGCGGACCAGAGGGGCAGGGCGGUGGCUUCCCAGAUGUGGACUGGCACGGAACUCCCUGUACACCAGGGUCAGGUCCUCAGUGUUAUUUUUGGAAUUAAAAGCCUAUUUCUUAACGACGUCAAGACAACAAUAAAUAACGGAUGACAGUUUCACCUUAAAAACAAUCCUGGCCCAGGACCGGACUUGGUGGCCGAGCGCCUGUCUGCUCAGCAUGCGUGGGCUCGGUCCUCAGCACCACAUCAGUACAAAGUAUGCAAGUAAAAUAAAGACGCACAAUUCUAAAAAUUCUGGUCCAGGAAUAAUAAAAUGUGGGCAGCUCAGAUUCUUUUGAAAAAUGUUGCUAAUUCAAAAAACCUAAAAAUUUGUGAAUAAAUCACUUCCUGGGCUCUGUAAGCCAAGGGACCCAUCUGACUCCCUGCCGUAUGACUGGGGCCAGCGGAGGCCUGACACACGCACAGAAGGCAGGACCCUGGGGUGGACUGAGGGCCGCAGGCGCCGACUCGCGAGAAAUCCCGACCCCGAUUCCUGGAGGCUCCCAGCAUUCAGGAGCCACAGCCUCCAGUACCCACACCCUCCAGGGGCCUCACCUUACUGCACCCACAAGAUGGCUGCUCGGCGACACUGGCUGCUCUCUGGGCCUGCGAGUCCCCAGCUUGGAGCCCUGGGCUCCUCUCCAUCCUGGGACCAGCAGGGCCGCCCCACACUGGAGCCUCGGGGCUGCUACUGUCAGGGUGUGGCAGGGGCAUGGGCUGAGCCCUGCGUCACCACCUCUGACAGACAGGACACAGUGCUCCAGGGUCCAGAGCACAAACUCACAGCCUGAGCACAGCGGUGCCAACUGUCCGCACGGACAACCCAGUGAUGUUGGUGGAUGCAACUGAAAUGACACAACCAAGGAAAGACCCUCCCACUAACAGACGUCCACUGAGGGAUGUGGGGCACUGUCCUAGGUACGCAGCACAGGCACAUAGGCUACAGAAAGCCACUGUGUGCAGGGAGCCACCUCUCUAAAGGGGAACACAGCGUGGCCACGGGCACUGAGGACAGCAGUCCACGGUGAAGGCCACAGAGAACUAAGAAGCAGAAGAAAUGACCCUGGGAAGGCGGCAGGGACCUCAGUGGAAGGACCGCCCCGGGGCAGCGGCGCAGGCUGCAGCAAGGGGCUAUGCGGGGUGUAGCAAGUCGGCCUGGAGGAGGCUGGGCUCAGCCACCUGCUCCCCUCAGGUAACCUGCCCGGCCAACAGGGGCGUCUGUCACCCACACGCCCUCUCCAGAAAGUGUGCUGUGGGCGCAACGGGAAUGAAAGUGCAGGGACAGGUACCGCCACCAGAGGGCCAGCCCGGGACAGCCACGGGGUCACAAGCUCUCCAGGGCUCAAGAGAAGAGCUCCAGACAAGGAGGGGAACCCUCGGCUGCUGCGACCCAGGGCACCGCCAGGCCUUCUGCGAAAGUGACCCGUGGCAGAGAGCUUCAUGGGGGGAAGCCUUUAAUCCUCCCCUCCCCACUGCUCAGCCGGGGCUACGGGCACAGGCUGGCACAUGGCGGCCAGACGCCACCCACGGAAGGCACCCUCCUUAGAUCAACAAGACGGCCUUGGAAGGUCUUUGUCACCCUGGGAUCUCAAAGUCCAAUGUCUGCCUUCCGUCUCCUGCCUCCAUUCCCCUCUCCCUGAACUGCUUUCUUCCUUAAGAGACCAAGUCGUGAGGCUGAGCCGAGCUGCAGCCAGGCCUCCUAAGAAAUGCGAGGGACACGGUGCUGACAUCACAGCAUGUACCCCUUACAGGAACUAAGGGGGCCAGAGUGCUAGGUGGUAUCUCAAGGGACCCCAGUGUGUCUGUGGCCCACUAUGGCCAAAUGUCCUGUAGCAGGUGACUAGAGUCGGAGAAGGCGGGUGGUGCCCAUGCCCUGCUGUCUGGAGGCGACGCGCUGCCCUCGGCACACGUAGGGAGUGUCUCUUCCUUCCAGGUCCUUCCCAGGCCUUGUGGCAGAGGAUGGCGGGAAGAAGCCAAGGGAGCUGGGACACAGGGGUGACUGGUCUGCACAGACACAGUGGCGUUUGGUGGCUGCACAUACAAUUCUCCCCCCCUCUGCCUGCCUCACAAGACUCAGGCUCAUGCAAAUCCAAGACCCACAGCUUUUGAAACCUCCUGCUCACAGUCUGACCUCACUGACGCCUGCAGCCUCCAUUUUGAGAGAUGACCUACAUGAAAAAGAACUAAAGAUGCCAUCGGAAAAAAUGACCCCCGCACCCCCCCGGAACCCGAGGCUGACCACCAGGCACAGAAAGACCAGGCCCAACACGGGCAAGUGCGCUCCUGUGGCCAGGCCUGGGUCAGCGUCAGGUGGGAGGGUGCAGCCACGUCCCUCGUCUGUGAGCAGAACCUCACUCUCCCCUCAGCUCGCUCCACCUAACCCCCAGGACCGGUGACCUUAUUGGGAAACAAGGCCUCUGCAGACGUAACCGAGCACAGGUAAGGUCACAGGGGGCCCCGAAUCCACCAGCCAGUGUCCCUGUAAGAAGGCCACGUGGCAACGGGGCAGAGACUCUGGAUGGUGCAGGUGUAAGCAGGCAGGGAUGCCAGGGGCUGCUGUUGGCCACCAGACGCCAGAGGGCAGGGAGCCCAAGAGGGGUGGCCCUGCGACACCUUCGCUUCACGCCGCGGGCCUCCACAACUGAGGAGAACACAGUUGUGCUGCGCAGGCCACGUGUCUGUGAUGACCUGCUAUGGCAGCCCUGGGAGAAGGACACAGGAGGCCACCUGUCAUUUCUUCACAUGGAGCAGCAAGUGGCAGGCGGGGAGGCCUGAGGGACGUCCUGCUCUCUGUGUGACUUGUAUGGCCCGCCACCUCUCGGCCACUCAGCACGGAAAGAACCAGACCAUCAGGGAAAGGCGAGUUCUCGAGUGUGACCGAGUGACAGCUCCUGUGCUGGUCUGCGCACUGUGCCUCCCACGGGCAGCACUAGGCCACACACCUCGGUGAUCUUGGGAACAGCAGCCCAGGGGAGGGCUGUGUGUCACACCCAGCCAGCCAGCGCUGCAACUGUCCACGUGACUUCAGGUCCCCCUCCGACCCCACUCAGUCACCCAUGAGAUGCGCUUCUGUCACCCCCUGCGCCAGCGCUCCGCAGGCUUCCUCAGGUCCAGGGCCGAGUCUGUCACAGCUGGGCACUGACCCGCCUGCAGCUCUACCAGACUUCCCGCUGUGAGGCUCGUGCCACUGACCCUGGGCCUGCCCCUGUGUCUUGUGGCUUUCACUGCAUAGUUUUGUGCAGUGUGUGGUGACUUUUAGGGAUACACAUGCCACCUUACCACAGAGCUGGCCUCUCUACCAAGCCAAGGCCUAUCCCAGCUCUAGCCCCAAAGGAUCUUGGCGUGACCGGACACCCUGUCAUUGUCCCCCACACUUCCCACUCUGUCCUUCAUGACAGAAAUGAGCUGAGGAAGCGUCUGCCAGGAGAUGGCCAACAGGCCACUAGCUGCUGUGUAACUUUUGGCUUCUUAAACCCAGGUUCACUGUUCUCUGGCCACCCUGGGCAUGUGUCCCCUCGGCACAGGCACAGGCUGGAGCGGGUGCAGUGCCCACCCCUUUAGAUGGGGCCGGCUUGCCCAGUCCUUGCCUUGCUCACCUCCUCCUGCUGCCUGGCCCAUCAACACCUGAGCGUGUGGCCUUGGACGGGUUCUGCAGCCGGACAGCGGAAUAGACUCUUGCUCCACCACUGCUCCAACUGUGUCGGCCUGCACGAGCUGACCAGCCUGUUUCUACAUCUUCAUAGAAAAGAACAAUGGAACCACCAUUUGACUUCCCACUCCUUGGUCUACACCCAAAGACUUAAAAACAGCACACUACAGGGACACAGCCACAUCAGUGUUCACAGCAGCACAAUCCACAACAGCUACACUGUGGAACCAACCUAGAUGGCCUUCAACAGAUGAAUGGAUCAAGAAACUGUGGUGUAUACACACAAUGGAAUAUUACUCGGCAUUCGAAGAGAAUAAAAUCAUGGCAUUUGCAGGUAAAUGGAUGGAGUUGGAGAAGAUAAGGCUAAGUGGAGCAAGCCAAUCCCAGAAAACCAAAGGCCGAAUGUUCUCUGAUAAGUGGAGGCUGAUC